rnacentral:rRNA from 1 species
AGCGAACGCUGGCGGCAUGCCUUACACAUGCAAGUCGAACGGCAGCACGGGAGCUUGCUCCUGGUGGCGAGUGGCGAACGGGUGAGUAAUACAUCGGAACGUACCCAGGAGUGGGGGGUAACGUAGCGAAAGUUACGCUAAUACCGCAUAUUCUGUGAGCAGGAAAGCGGGGGAUCGCAAGACCUCGCGCUCUUGGAGCGGCCGAUGUCGGAUUAGCUAGUUGGUGAGGUAAAAGCUCACCAAGGCGACGAUCCGUAGCAGGUCUGAGAGGAUGAUCUGCCACACUGGGACGGAGACACGGCCCAGACUCCUACGGGAGGCAGCAGUGGGGAAGUUUGGACAAUGGGGGCAACCCUGAUCCAGCCAUGCCGCGUGAGUGAAGAAGGCCUUCGGGUUGUAAAGCUCUUUCGGCGGGGAAGAAAUGGCAACGGCUAAUAUCCGUUGUUGAUGACGGUACCUGCAUAAGAAGCACCGGCUAACUACGUGCCAGCCGCCGCCGUAAAAC